UCACCUGCAAAAAAAGAAAAAAGAAAGAAGGUUUGGUGGCAUACCCCUUUUCAUCACAUCACUGAAACUCCCCCCUCCACCAAAAAAAAACCUCACUGGUAAGGACAUUUACAGGCAAAGAAAAUCACAAGCAGGCUUGCUCCUGAUCUGGGUGUUCCCAUUCCAGCCGCAUCAUCCUGGUACUGGACUAUUCUGCACCAGACUUGUUACAGGUAUUUAACAAGCGCUGCAGAGUUCACUACAAGCCUCCAAAGAGCCAGUGAUGCAAGGAUGUUUCCCAUGAAGGUGGUCUACAAUCAUGACCAAAGCUGGAAGACAUUGGGCAAACUGUAUGGGACCUUUCUGGAACCAGUAGAACCCAGUCUCAUUUUGUUUUCACUUAGCUGGAAUCUUAAGUUUAAAUGAUUCUCUUAACUGAGAGAAACCAACUUCUGUUUUGUACAAAAUGUGUGAAACCACUUUUAUAACUAAUAAAAUGAUUUUCAGACAGGA